rnacentral:rRNA from 1 species
UACGGGGGGGAGCAGCGUUGUUCGGAUUUACUGGGCGUAAAGGGCGGGUAGGCGGCCACCGCAAGUCGACUGUGAAAAUCUCCGGGCUUAACCCGGAAAGGUCAGCCGAUACUGCGGGGCUAGAGUGCAGAAGGGGCAACUGGAAUUCUCGGUGUAGCGGUGAAAUGCGUAGAUAUCGAGAGGAACACCUGCGGCGAAGGCGGGUUGCUGGGCUGACACUGACGCUGAAGCGCGAAAGCUAGGGGAGCGAACGGG